rnacentral:rRNA from 1 species
GNGUAAUUUUGAAAUACAAGGUAUUGUAAUAAGAUUUUAAUUGAAUGCUAAAAGAAUGGAAAUUUAAAAAAAAACUUUUUUAAAAAUAAAAAUUGAAUUUUUUUUAAUUUGUGCAAAAACAAUUAUUAUUAUUAAAGACAAGAAGACCCUAAGAAUUUAUGAUUUUGCAAUUAGAAUUUUUUUCAAAAAAUCUUGAUUGGGGCGAUCAAAAAAUAUUAAUAACUUUUUAAAUUUAAAUUGAUCUAUUAUUAAUAAACUAAUGAAUUAAAUACUCUAGGGAUAACAGCGUAAUAAUUUUUGAUAGAUCUUAUUGAUAAAAUAGUUUGUGAUUUCGAUGUUGGAUUAGGAUCCUUUUUUAAAGAAUAAUUAAAAAAACAUUGUAGAUUCAAAUUAAUAUUCCUAUUUAAUUAUUAAUUGAACCGAUCAAA